rnacentral:miRNA from 1 species
AGAAAUUGUACAUUAGACUAGU